GAAAAUCUAGAUUUAUUUUGCUAGAAUGCGAUUUUAGCUAGUUUCGUUUUUGAGGCGAGUUUUUUUUGUUUUGUUUUUUGGCCAUUCCUUGGAACGUUCUCGCCGAACUCGGAGGAUGCAGUAUCAGGACCUUAUACCAAAGUCGACAAGCUCCGCUCUAUAAUCACGAAAAGGGGUGGACACGGACGCAGACAACUAGAUCGUCCGGCAUUUAUGCGAGGGUUGUAUUUGUUCAAGCGAUAAAGGGUGAUGGACGGGUAUGUCCUCACAUAACCACACAUCCAGAGGCCUUGUGUGAGAGAUCGACCGGAACCUAGCAUAUAAUCAUAUAUCGCCGAAGAUUGGACGUUGGAUUACGCAAGGGGAGGAUUCUACCCAAUUUGAAUUUUAAUUUACAGGGUCUACCCCGGCGCGGGUGUAGGAGUCCUCCAGCGGCCCUCCGUCACUGUCCGAAAAAGCCGUUAAGGAAACAAGAACAAUACCCGUAGCAGGAGCGAUGCAUCGCAGGGGAUUCCGCAGUAAUGGGAAUGCUGGAAAUAAGAAGAAUGCGUAUCUGGGUCUUAAAGCAUCCGCGGCCGCCUCCUGCAGCUCGCGGAUUGGCGGAGAAACUCCCAUUGCCAUGGCAACGAGGAGGAACAUGCUGGAGACCUUCGGCUGCACCAGCUUGAUUCAUCGCCACCUUGAGAUGUUUUAAUGUUGCCUUUAUUCAAAUUAAUGGUUUCGAAUAUUUUAUAAGAUUAAAAUUCCGCCGGAUCGUAUCUCUUUUAAAUUGGUCUGGAUGCCUCCGUCGUAGUCGUCGUCGUCCUACCGAUGCAUGCAAGACAAACAUGCCAACGAUUCGAUACCAUCUUGUUUACGAUGCAGAUAUUUGAAUUACCCAGACGUUGCAAGCAAAGACGUCAACGCUACUACAGAGUAAUUAACAAUCACAAGAAACCGACAAAUAAAAUAAAAUUUCAACAAAAAAUUAUUAGUAAUUUUAAAUUAGUUGUUUCGUUUUUAUUUAUGGUAGGAGAUGGAAGGUCUCUAUUUUUCAUUAUAGAUGACUAUCUCCCUGUCAGUGCUUUUAAGAUAUGUGAUCAGGCUUACGUUUUAAUUAACUUUAGACUAGGACUAGACAAAAUCUGUAAAAAUUCAGUAAUUGGGUGGGUAGAGGCAAUAUUUUGUAAUAUUUUAUGUUUCCACUUUAAUUUUUUAUUUCAAUAUAUUGUAGAUAGAGUUUGUAAUUCCUGUACAUUAGUGCAUAGAAAAAUUCUUGAGAUACCUAUUUUAUACAUGUGUUCGCUAGAUUAUCGUUGUAAAUGUCACAAAAAGACCCGAUGAGACUAAUAACUUUUAUUAUCGAAUCUUAGUUUUAGUGCUUUUAAGACAUAUCAAAGGACAAUCUAUAAAACUAGUCCAUUGUGAAAAAAUAUUUAGUUUUAUCUUUUUUUUAACCAAUUGACAUGAUUGUAAAAGUGGGAUUAAUUCAAACACGAUGUAUAUAUAAAUACGCCAAAGUCGCAUUUUCACUCAAAAUUCGCUGUUAUAAAUUAGUCAUGCGCUUCAAAAAAAUAAUAGCAAAUGUAAUUGGCACACUUUCAAUCAGAGAUC